rnacentral:rRNA from 1 species
GCAAACCAAAAGCUGGCGACCGGCGCACGGGUGAGUAACACGUAUCCAACCUGCCUCAUACUCGGGGAUAGCCUUUCGAAAGAAAGAUUAAUAUCCGAUAGCAUAUAUUUCCCGCAUGGGUUUUAUAUUAAAGAAAUUCGGUAUGAGAUGGGGAUGCGUUCCAUUAGUUUGUUGGGGGGGUAACGGGCCCACCAAGACUACGAUGGAUAGGGGUUCUGAGAGGAAGGUCCCCCACAUUGGAACUGAGACACGGUCCAAACUCCUACGGGAGGCAGCAUG